AAAACGACUCUCGGCAACGGAUAUCUCGGCUCUCGCAUC
rnacentral:rRNA from 1 species